GUGGGGAAUCUUCCGCAAUGGACGAAAGUCUGACGGAGCAACGCCGCGUGAGUGGAGAAGGUUUUCGGAUCGUAAAGCUCUUUCGUUAGGGACGAACGUGCUCUUUGUGAAUAAUGAGGAGUAAUGACGGUACCUAAAUAAGAAGCCACGGCUAACUACGUGCCAGCAGCCGCGGUAAUACGUAGGUGGCAAGCGUUGUCCGGAAUUAUUGGGCGUAAAGCGCGCGCAGGCGGGAUAUCAAGUCUGUCUUAAAAGUGCGAGGCUCAACCUCGUGAGGGGACAGAAACUGGUAUUCUUGAGUGUCGGAGAGGAAAGUGGAAUUCCAAGUGUAGCGAUGAAAUGCGUAGAGAUUUGGAAGAACACCAGUGGCGAAGGCGACUUUCUGGACGAUGUCUGACGCUGAGGCGCGAAAGCUAGGGGAGCGAACGGGAUUAGAUACCCUGGUAGUCC
rnacentral:rRNA from 1 species